UACGUAGGGGGCAAGCGUUGUCCGGAAUCAUUGGGCGUAAAGGGCGCGUGGGCGGCCCUUAAAGUCCGCGGGGAAAGUCAAGGGCUCAACCCUUGGAUGCCGGUGGAUACUGCAGGGCUAGAGUCCGGAAGAGGCGAGUGGAAUUCCUGGUGUAGCGGUGAAAUGCGCAGAUAUCAGGAGGAACACCGAUGGCGAAGGCAGCUCGCUGGGACGGUACUGACGCUGAGGCGCGAAAGCGUGGGGAGCAAACAGG
rnacentral:rRNA from 1 species